UACUAGCUCGAUACUGACGCUCAGUCACGAAAGCGUGGGGAGCAAAUAGGAUUAGAUACCCUAGUAGUCCACGCCGUAAACGAUGUCGACUAAGUAUUGCUGUGAGGCAGUGCUGAAGCUAACGCAUUAAGUCGACCGCCUGGGGAGUACGGUCGCAAGACUGAAACUUAAAGGAAUUGACGGGGACCCGCACAAGCAGUGGAGCAUGUGGAUUAAUUCGAUGCUACGCGAAGAACCUUACCAGGACUUGACAUGGAUUCAAAUGUUCUAGAGAUAGAAAGAUAGCUAUGGAUCACACAGGUGGUGCAUGGUUGUCGUCAGCUCGUGUCGUGAGAUGUUGGGUUAAGUCCCGCAACGAGCGCAACCCUUGUCCUUAGUUACCAUCAUUUAGUUGGGGACUCUAAGGAGACUGCCGAUGUAAAUCGGAGGAAGGUGGGGAUGACGUCAAAUCAUCAUGCCCCUUACGUCCUGGGCGUCACACGUGCUACAAUGGCCGGUACAGAGAGACGCGAUACCGCGAGGUGGAGCAAAUCCCAUAAAGCCGGUCUCAGUUCAGAUUGAAGUCUGCAACUCGACUUCAUGAAGUCGGAAUGCUAGUAAU
rnacentral:rRNA from 1 species